AAGAAACUAACAAGGAUUCCCCUAGUAACGGCGAGUGAAGAGGGAAAAGCCCAGCACCGAAUCCCACAGCCUAGCGCUGUCGGGAACUGUGGUGUAUAGGAAGCCUACUUGUCGGCGUGUUCGGGUACCCAAGUCCUCCUGAUCGUGGCCUCUCCCAUAGCGGGUGUCAGGCCCAUACAGGCACCCGACGGCGUCGGCUUGGAGCUUCCUCGGAGUCGGGUUGUUUGGGAAUG
rnacentral:rRNA from 1 species